rnacentral:lncRNA from 1 species
GUGUGAGGCAAGUCCAGGAGACUGCUUAAAGAAGUCCAGACAGGUCACGAGGAGGUGGUGUGCAUGAGGCAGCUUCGCCAGAUGACAGCAUCCUGGCUGUGCGAUACGAUGCGAAGCCCUGCAAAGACUCAUGCCUCUGUCGCRUGCUGGGAGUGCUGAGCAUUUCCAGCUCCUGGUGUCACACUGGGAUCCACCUGUGUCGAGCAGCUCACCACAGUGAAGCUUUCUUUGGUGAGAAUAGAAAAGAUGGAUGUUUGCAGAUGGCAUGUGUGAGGAUCAUACUUCUCAUACGUGUUGCAGGCUUAAGUAAGCUCACACUAUGUAUGUAUUUUAUGUGACCAUUUUAUGCAAUACAACACUGAUGGUUUAGCUGUUAGAACCCCUGUGUUGCUGGAUGAAGGACCAGUACCAGGAUUUUUGCCCACUC